GUGUCAGCAGCCGCGGUAAGACGAACCGUGCGAACGUUGUUCGGAUUCACUGGGCUUAAAGGGCGCGUAGGCGGGUCAGCAAGUCCGGGGUGAAAGCUUUCGGCUCAACCGGAAAAGGGCCUUGGAUACUGCUGGUCUGGAGGAAGGUAGGGGCGUGUGGAACUUCCGGUGGAGCGGUGAAAUGCGUAGAUAUCGGAAGGAACGCCGGUGGCGAAAGCGACACGCUGGACCUUUUCUGACGCUGAGGCGCGAAAGCCAGGGGAGCAAACGGGAUUAGAUACCCCGGUAGUCC
rnacentral:rRNA from 1 species